AAUUUUGGACAAUGGGGGCAACCCUGAUCCAGCCAUCCCGCGUGUAUGAUGAGGGCCUUCGGGUUGUAUAGUACUCUUUUCAGCGAAGAAAAGGUCUCUCCUAAUACGAGAUACUGCUGACCGUAUCUGCAGAAUAAGCACCGGCUAACUACGUGCCAGCAGCCGCGGUAAUACGUAGGGUGCAAGCGUUAAUCGGAAUUACUGGGCGUAAAGGGCGUGUAGGCGGUUCUGAAAGAAAGAUGUGAAAUCCCAGGGCUCAACCUAGGAACUGCAUUUUUAACUGCCGAGCUAGAGUAUGGCAGAGGGGGGUAGAAUUCCACGUGUAGCAGUGAAAUGCGUAGAUAUGUGGAGGAAUACCGAUGGCGAAGGCAGCCCACUGGGAUAAUACUGACGCUCAGACACGAAAGCGUGGGGAGCAAACAGG
rnacentral:rRNA from 1 species